rnacentral:rRNA from 1 species
CUAGUGUCAGCAGCGCGGUAUACCCGCAGCCCAAGUGGUGGUCGCGGAUUAUUGGGCCUAAAGCGCUCGUAGCCGGGUUGGCAAGUCCCUUGUGAAUCGGGCGGCUUAACCGUUCGGCUUGCAAGGGAUACUGCCAGUCUUGAGGCCGGGAGACGUCGAGGGUACUCUGAGGGUAGCGGUGAAAUGCUCUAAUCCUCGGGGGACCACCAGUGGGCGAAGGCGCUUGACGAGAACGGACCUGACGGUGAGGGGCGAAGGCGUAGGGGAGCGAUCGGGAUUAGAAACCCCC